rnacentral:rRNA from 1 species
GACGAACGCUGGCGGCGUGCUUAACACAUGCAAGUCGAACGGUGAAGGGACCAGCUUGCUGGUUCUGGAUGAGUGGCGAACGGGUGAGUAACACGUGGGUAACCUGCCCCCUUCUUCUGGAUAACCGCAUGAAAGUGUGGCUAAUACGGGAUAUUCUGGGUCUGUCGCAUGGCGGGCCCGGGAAAGAUAUUGCUUCGGUGGGGGAUGGGCUCGCGGCCUAUCAGCUUGUUGGUGGGGUGAUGGCCUACCAAGGCGGUGACGGGUAGCCGGCCUGAGAGGGGGGACGGUCACACUGGGACUGAGACACGGCCCAGACUCCUACGGGAGGGAGCAGUGGGGAAUAUUGCACAAUGGGCGCAAGCCUGAUGCAGCGACGCCGCGUGAGGGAUGGAGGCCUUCGGGUUGUAAACCUCUUUCGCCAGUGAAGCAGGCCUGCUCCUUGUGGGUGGGUUGACGGUAGCUGGAUAAGAAGCGCCGGCUAACUACGUG